ACUAGUGAUUACUCCUACGGAGGCAGCAGUGGGGAAUAUUGGACAAUGGGCGCAAGCCUGAUCCAGCAAUACCGCGUGUGUGAAGAAGGCCUGAGGGUUGUAAAGCACUUUCGGCAAGGAGGAAGGGUGCAAUGCUAAUACCAUUGUAUUUUGACGUUACUUGCAGAAGAAGCACCGGCUAACUCUGUGCCAGCAGCCGCGGUAAUAAUCCCGCG
rnacentral:rRNA from 1 species